rnacentral:rRNA from 1 species
UGUGGUUUAAUUCGAAGCAACGCGAAAAACCUUACCAAAUCUUGACAUCCUUUGAAAACUCUAGAGAUAGAGCCUUCCCCUUCGGGGGACAAAGUGACAGGGGGUGCAUGGUUGUCGUCAGCUCGUGUCGGGAGAUGUUGGGUUAAGUCCCGCAACGAGCGCAACCCUUAAGCUUAGUUGCCAUCAUUAAGUUGGGCACUCUAGGUUGACUGCCGGUGACAAACCGGAGGAAGGGGGGGAUGACGUCAAAUCAUCAUGCCCCUUAUGAUUUGGGCUACACACGUGCUACAAUGGACAAUACAAAGGGCAGCUAAACCGCGAGGUCAUGCAAAUCCCAUAAAGUUGUUCUCAGUUCGGAUUGUAGUCUGCAACUCGACUACAUGAAGCUGGAAUCGCUAGUAAUCGUAAAUCAGCAUGCUACGGUGAAUACGUUCCCGGGUCUUGUACACACCGCCCGUCACACCACGAGAGUUUGUAACACCCGAAGCCGGUGGAGUAACCAUUUAUGGAGCUAGCCGUCAAAGGUGGGACAAAUGAUUGGGGUGAAGUCGUAACAAGGUAGCCGUAUCGAAAGGUGCGGCU